UCUCUCCUCCCUUUCCCCCCUCAACUCUCGAUCUCUCUCAUCUCUCUCUCUUCUUUCUUCUCUUCUUCUCUCUUCUCACUCUCCUUCUUCCCUCACCUCAUGGUACCCUCACCCCUUUCACCUCCCCAUGGCCUAAAUCUCCAUAAAUCAUCAUCAAGCAUGAUCUCUACAAGAUCAUGCAUUUAUGUGACAAGAUCACACCAUCCCAUCACCUCUCACCAAGACAAGCUUCCCUUCUUUCUUCAUAAGUUUCGCCCGCCCCUCCCCCUCUUCACUUCACCACAUUUUCUUUUUGUUCCACCAAAUAUAGUAAGAACAAAGUUUUCGAAAAGUGUUCAUCUUCAAGCUCAAGCUUCAAGAAAAUCCUAAGCACCAUCCUCUACUCCACCUUCUUUGAUUUUGUUGGAAGUUCGAGUGACGGCCGGCGUUAGUACGACUCUGAGCUCUACGUCAUCGACCCUUGAGACAGGUCUUGCUUGGCGCGAGGAUGGGUGAAGGCUGUUGGAACUGUCAGUUGGCCGUGUCUUCCUAUGUCUCACACUUAUCUUUAUACGCUUUUACUCUAUAAGUAACUGAACUCUGCUAUAUGUCUUCACACAUAUAGUAAUGUAUCUCGCUGCAUAACUCUGAUGAAACUCUUUUAUUCAAUCUGCUUAUGUCUAUAAUAUUCCAUAAGGGAGAAUACUUUUCAAACCCUUGCUAAGUCUCCAAUUACUUAUUUAUG